rnacentral:rRNA from 1 species
UACAGAGGCCACAAGCGUUAUGCGGAAUCACUGGGCUUAAAGCGUGUGUAGGCGGUAUGGUAAGUACUUUGUGAAAUCCCACGGCUUAACCGUGGAAUUGCUUGGUAUACUGCCGUGCUUGAAUCAUCUAGGGGCAGCUGGAACUGAUGGUGGAGCGGUGAAAUGCAUAGAUAUCAUCAGGAACGCCAAUGGUGCAGACAAGCUGCUGGGGAUGUAUUGACGCUGAGGCACGAAAGCCAGGGGAGCAAACGGG